rnacentral:pre_miRNA from 1 species
AGGUCUUCAAUAAGUAUUUGUUGAAAGAAUAAAUGAACCAACAAGUCUUAUUUGAGCACCUGUUAUG